rnacentral:rRNA from 1 species
GACGAACGCUGGCGGCGUGCUUAACACAUGCAAGUCGAACGGAAAGGCCCUGCUUUUGUGGGGUGCUCGAGUGGCGAACGGGUGAGUAACACGUGAGUAACCUGCCCUUGACUUUGGGAUAACUUCAGGAAACUGGGGCUAAUACCGGAUAGGAGCUCCUGCUGCAUGGUGGGGGUUGGAAAGUUUCGGCGGUUGGGGAUGGACUCGCGGCUUAUCAGCUUGUUGGUGGGGUAGUGGCUUACCAAGGCUUUGACGGGUAGCCGGCCUGAGAGGUUGACCGGCCACAUUGGGACUGAGAUACGGCCCAGACUCCUACGGGAGGCAGCAGUGGGGAAUAUUGCACAAUGGGCGGAAGCCUGAUGCAGCAACGCCGCGUGCGGGAUGAAGGCCUUCGGGUUGUAAACCGCUUUCGCCUGUGACGAAGCGUGAGUGACGGUAAUGGGUAAAGAAGCACCGGCUAACUACGUG